ACUGUGCUCACUUUGGCAGUACAUAUUAAAAUUGAAACUGUACAGAAAUGAUGAGCAUAGCCCCUGCAUGAGGAUGACACACAAAUUCAUGAAAUGUUCCAUAUUUUU
ensembl:snRNA U6 U6 spliceosomal RNA